AAAAAAAAAAAAAAAAAAACCUUGUUAUGCUCUCAAUUAGCAAACCAAAAUAAAAAAAAAAUAUUCCUGUUUUUCUAAAGUCUCCCGAGUGCUUUAAGAUUUCUCAUUAUUCAGUGGUAUUUCAUGGUAGGACUCUCACUGCUUUUACAAAACAUGCAUUCUAGGGGUCAAAAAAUAGAUGUCUGCAUUUUUAAAGCAAAACAAAACUGAAUUUUCAAAGAAACAGAACCAAAUUUCUGAUUUUUAACAGUUAGGUUCGACAAUUUGGUUUUAACAGAAUAGUGCUCGCUUCAACUCUUUCUGCCCCCUCUUUUUGUCUUACUACCUUUUAAUCCUACUUUUACUACUAAAAAAUUAGCAGAAAAAUAUAAGAGUUUAUUCACAUUAGACCAUGUAUAAAAUCUUGGAUUUUUGAACUGAAUUGCACAUAUGCAUUUUAUAAAUCUUGCUGAUCCCGCUACAUUAACUAAAUCUAGAACUAGAAAUUAGUGCCUCCAUUUGCUCGAUUGGCUGCUUUUUUUGCACUGUUAAGCGUACAUGCAAUGAAAAGACGCCUCACCUGAGUGCUCCUCUUUCUUUUGACGUCCUGGCAUUCUAUGCAUAUGUAAUAUAAAAAUAUCAUGAAUAGAAUACUUGGUUUUAUACAAUGAGUUAUUAUACACCACGUAGAUUCUAUGUAACUACACCUUUGAAGGUACGGGUCAAAAUAAUACUAAAGUGAUAAUGGAUGGAUAUUUCAUGGAGGAAAUGACGUAGCGUGAAGCUCAGAAAGAACACUCUCACACACAAUGCACAAGUAUUGGGAGAAAAACUCUGUAGAAUUUUAUUAAUCAAAUCUUAAAAUCUGAAAAUACAUAGAAUAUAUGGGGCUAUUUAUAAAUUUUUGAUCUCCUAGACCUAGUAGGAAAAUUAAUCUACUAUUUAG
rnacentral:misc_RNA from 1 species